UACAGAGGUGGCAAGCGUUGUUCGGAAUUACUGGGCGUAAAGGGCGCGUAGGCGGUUCGUUAAGUCCUGUGUGAAAUCCCCCGGCUCAACUGGGGAACUGCACAGGAAACUAGCGGGCUUGAGUUCGGGAGAGGGAAGCGGAAUUCCGGGUGUAGCGGUGAAAUGCGUAGAUAUCGGGAGGAACACCUGCGAUGUAGAUGGCUUACUGGACCGUAACUGACGCUGAGGCACGAAAGCGUGGGUAGCAAACAGG
rnacentral:rRNA from 1 species